CCUGCCGAUUCUUUAUUACGGUUACCGGAUCCAAGUAAGAGAAGCUCCGUGGUGAAGUUGUCGAGUUCAACGCAGGGCCAAUUGUUGACGACUGAUGCCGGUUUCGCUUAGAGAGAGCAAACCUAUCACUUAUCCGACACGCUGUCAAUCGGUACAAAUGAUCAUUGGACGCGCUACGAAUGGGAGCUGUUUAUUGUACGAGCAUGUCAAGGCGCACAACAAACUUUUGUCCGGUUACAAGGGUUGCUAUACAAGGCGCUACAAUCUACGUUUGGAGCGGCGUCUAUUUGGCUCAACGCUGAAACAUCCGCGCCACCGAAGUACGCGUCGACGGCGUAGCUACCUAUACAUCAAAGAUCGUUAUUAUUACUGGAGAAGCAACGUGUCUUGAUAAUAGACGUACAUCUGUGUAUGUGUGUUUAUCUACAGUUACUAGACAAUCUUUCAUCGUGAUUGGACUUACUUAAAUACUUUGUGUUAAGAAUCAUAGGAGACCACUCCGUAUAUGAGAUAGCGAGAUCAUGACGAAAACAUGUACAUGUCAUGCACUAUAACUCUAAAGCCCAUCUCAAUGUAGCAACAGAACUGUAUCUGCUCUGUACCCUAAAGAGAAGUAAUCCCGCUUGUCAAAAUCAUUGAGAGGCUGGCUCAUUUACGAGCCAAUGCGGUGCCUUUUUCUAGACGCAAGAAUCGGCUCAAAUUAAUAGUGCAUAACAUACAUUUGGUGGAUUACGUUCAAGCAAUUCUCAUACCGGCUAGUAAAAUUAAUUUUAGAGCGUUUUCAGUCUUCAGUCAGAAAAUAGUUAUUGGCGCCUAUUUUUGCGUUCGGCUAUUCCAUUGACAGGUUUUUAUUUGGUUCAUUUAAGUAAAUGUAUUUUUAUCAGUCUUGUUUCAAAUCUCCGCUAUAGCUAUUUCAAUUAGAAUUCGUUAUGUAAGAGCUAUUUUCCGUUUCGGAUAUCAAUGGAGUCUCAGCGCAGAAUUUAGCUGAAAAUUCGAGUAGAAAUAACGAGAAAAUGCUUUUUGUGAUAAAGUAUGUAUUAUGAAAUAAUUCCAACAUGUGGGUUACGUUUGACUUGAAUACGUCGAUAGGAUUUGCGUCUUCUAAUAAGUUUCUUGAAGUUAUUUUUGCUGAGGCAAAAUGAAAAGUUGCAAAAACAUCCAAGAUAACGCAAGAAUUUAAAAGAUUGAAAAUAAAAUUGUGUUUUAGGAAACGGUUUUCUGAAGGAAAAUCCAAUCAAAUAUGGCCGAAUCAUGAAUGAGUUCGCAAAUUAAUUGGACGAUCUUCUUCGAAAAGUGUUUUCUUGUUAGCAGCGGUGUCUAAUCUAUAAUAAUUUAUACUCGAAGAGAGAAGAACUCAAUUGCAAUUGUAAAAAGUUUCGUUAUACUUAUUGCCAUAGUUGUAAGUUGCAAUAUCGAAAUUAGCGGGAAAACAUUUGUCAAACAUCUUUUCAAUCCUUUAUAUGUUAGUUUCAGUAUCGCUAUGGUUCACCCACUGAUAAGGCUCGAGUGCAGCUCGUCACCCAGUAUACUACAGCUGUUGUAUUUUCCUUUUUUUUAUUGGGGUACAUUGAGCCGAGACUAAGAAUUUCGAGUUUUCGAUCCGACACGACCGUUGCGGAAAGAUUGCUUCAGACCACUGGCUCUUAGCACAGAACAAAACGUCUCGAGGCUUGGCUUAAAGCCUAGACUGCGUUCUCGUAGUAAAUCUGCUUUUGAUAGCUCCCAAAGCUUUUUGCUCGCUAGAUAACUAUUACAGUGGGAACCCAAUAAUAUUUUUUAUUGAAAACAGUGCGUUAAGUGAAAAGCCCAACUCACCUUAUCCUCUUUGCUCUACAUCAAGUACUGGGAUGCGUUUGUUCAAGGUUUUAUACGAUCAAAUAUUAAGACUUUUUUUUUUUCAAUCAUUAUGUCUUGAACUGGUUUGAACGGCUCACGACGCUAAAUUAGGUCGAUUUGCAUUAGACACGAUCUAUUUUGCAGAGAAAUGGCCUUAAUCCAUGCCAUA
rnacentral:lncRNA from 1 species